rnacentral:rRNA from 1 species
UACAGAGGGGGCAAGCGUUGUUCGGAAUUACUGGGCGUAAAGGGCGCGUAGGCGGCCUUCUAAGUCGAACGUGAAAUCCCCGGGCUCAACCCGGGAACUGCGUCCGAUACUGGAAGGCUUGAAUCCGGGAGAGGGAUGCGGAAUUCCAGGUGUAGCGGUGAAAUGCGUAGAUAUCUGGAGGAACACCGGUGGCGAAGGCGGCAUCCUGGACCGGCAUUGACGCUGAGGCGCGAAAGCGUGGGGAGCGAUCCGG